CCCUUAGACGUUCUGGGCCGCACGCGCGCUACACUGACGAAGGCAACGAGCUUUCCUUUACCGAAAGGUACGGGUAAUCUUUUGAAACUUCGUCGUGCUGGGGAUAGAUCCUUGCAAUUUUUGAUCUUAAACGAGGAAUGCCUAGUAAGCGCAAGUCAUCAACUUGUGUUGAUUACGUCCCUGCCCUUUGUACACACCGCCCGUCGCUACUACCGAUUGAAUGGUUUAGUGAGGCCUUCGGAUCCGCGACUCGUUUUGUGGAGAAGUUGGACAAACUCAGUCAUUUAGAGGAAGUAAAAGUCGUAACA
rnacentral:rRNA from 1 species